UACGAAGGGGGCUAGCGUUGCUCGGAAUCACUGGGCGUAAAGGGCGCGUAGGCGGCUUGGGAAGUCUGUGGUGAAAGCUCGUGGCUCAACUGCGAGUCGGCCAUAGAUACUCCUAAGCUCGAGUCGACUAGAGGCAGAUGGAAUUCCGGGUGUAGCGGUGGAAUGCGUAGAGAUCCGGAAGAACACCGGUGGCGAAGGCGGUCUGCUGGGGUCGAACUGACGCUGAGGCGCGACAGCGUCGGGAGCAAACAGG
rnacentral:rRNA from 1 species